UACCUGGUUGAUCCUGCCAGUAGUCAUAUGCUUGUCUCAAAGAUUAAGCCAUGCAUGUCUAAGUACAUGCCGAAACAAGGCGAAACCGCGAAUGGCUCAUUAAAUCAGUUAUGGUUCCUUAGAUCGUUUCUUCCUACUUGGAUAACUGUGGCAAUUCUAGAGCUAAUACAUGCAGUGAGCCCGAAGCCCCUCGGGGCGACGGGUGCUUUUAUUAGACCAAGAUCAAUCGGGCUUCGGUCCGUUUUGUGU
rfam:Ixodes scapularis strain Wikel colony gcontig_1108379094950, whole genome shotgun sequence.